CCUACGGGAGGCAGCAGUGAGGAAUAUUGGUCAAUGGGCGGAAGCCUGAACCAGCCAAGUAGCGUGCAGGAUGACGGCCCUACGGGUUGUAAACUGCUUUUAUACGGGAAUAACGCGCCUUACGUGUAGGGCUUUGCAUGUACCGUAUGAAUAAGGACCGGCUAAUUCCGUGCCAGCAGCCGCGGUAAUACGGAAGGUCCGGGCGUUAUCCGGAUUUAUUGGGUUUAAAGGGAGCGUAGGCCGGAUGUCAAGCGUGCUGUGAAAUGUCCGGGCUCAACCCGGGCCUUGCAGUGGAAACUGGCAGGCUUGAGUCCGCGGAAAGCAGGCGGAAUGCGUGGUGUAGCGGUGAAAUGCUUAGAUAUGACGAAGAACCCCGAUUGCGAAGGCAGCUUGCUGCAGCGGAACUGACGCUGAUGCUCGAAAGCGCGGGUAUCGAACAGGAUUAGAUACCCUAGUAGUC
rnacentral:rRNA from 1 species